rnacentral:rRNA from 1 species
CCUACGGGAGGCAGCAGUAAGGAAUAUUGGACAAUGGUCGCAAGACUGAUCCAGCCAUGCCGCGUGAAGGAUGAAGGCCCUAUGGGUUGUAAACUUCUUUUGUAUGGGAAAAAACCCUUCUACGUGUAGAAGGCUGAUUGUACCAUAAGAAUAAGGAUCGGCUAACUCCGUGCCAGCAGCCGCGGUAAUACGGAGGAUCCAAGCGUUAUCCGGAUUCAUUGGGUUUAAACGGGUGCGUAGGCGGAAUGAUAAGUCAGUGGUGAAAUCCUGCAGCUUAACUGCAGAACUGCCAUUGAUACUGUCAAUCUUGAGUACAUUUGAUGUGGGCGGAAUGUGUCAUGUAGCGGUGAAAUGCUUAGAUAUGACACAGAACACCGAUUGCGAAGGCAGCUCACAAACUGUAACUGACGCUGAGGCACGAAAGCGUGGGUAUCAAACAGGAUUAGAUACCCUGGUAGUCCCACGCUAGUAACUAUAGUAUUACUACGUAUGUUGUCG